CCGCGUGUGUGAAGAAGGCCUGCGGGUUGUAAAGCACUUUAAGCAGGGAAGAAUGGGCUAGAGUUAAUACCUUUGGUCAGUGACGUUACUGCAGAAUAAGCACCGGCUAACUCCGUGCCAGCAGCCGCGGUAAUACGGAGGGUGCGAGCGUUAAUCGGAAUUACUGGGCGUAAAGCGGGCGUAGGCGGUUGGCUAAGUUUGCUGUGAAAGCCCCGGGCUUAACCUGGGAACUGCAGUGAAUACUGGUCGGCUAGAGUAUGGAAGAGGGGGGUGGAAUUCCACGUGUAGCAGUGAAAUGCGUAGAGAUGUGGAGGAACACCGAUGGCGAAGGCAGCCCCCUGGGCCAAUACUAACGCUCAUGCACGAAAGCGUGGGGAGCAAACAGGAUUAGAUACCCUGGUAGUCCACGCCCUAAACGAUGUCAACUAGUUGUAGGGUGGGUAAAACCAUUUAGUAACGUAGCUAACGCGUGAAGUUGACCGCCUGGGGAGUACGGACGCAAGGUUCAAACUCACAGGAAUUGACGGGGACCCGCACGAGCG
rnacentral:rRNA from 1 species